UAGAGUUUAAAAACUCCCAAACCCAUGUGAACAUACCUCUGUUGCCUCGGCGGGGUCACGCCCCGGGUGCGUCGCAGCCCCGGAACCAGGCGCCCGCCGGAGGGACCAACCAAACUCUUUUCUGCAGUCCCCUCGCGGACGUUAUUACAUACAGCUCUGAGCAAAAAUUCAAAAUGAAUCA
rnacentral:misc_RNA from 1 species